GAUGAACGCUGGCGGCGUGCCUAAUACAUGCAAGUCGAACGAAACUUCUUUAUCACCGAGUGCUUGCACUCACCGAUAAAGAGUUGAGUGGCGAACGGGUGAGUAACACGUGGGCAACCUGCCCAAAAGAGGGGGAUAACACUUGGAAACAGGUGCUAAUACCGCAUAACCAUAGUUACCGCAUGGUAACUAUGUAAAAGGUGGCUAUACUACCGCUUUUGGAUGGGCCCGCGGCGCAUUAGCUAGUUGGUAGGGUAAAGGCUUACCAAGGCAAUGAUGCGUAGCCGAAUUGAGAGGUUGAUCGGCCACAUUGGGACUGAGACACGGCCCAAGCUCCUACGGGAGGCAGCAGUAGGGAAUCUUCCACAAUGGGCGAAAGCCUGAUGGAGCAACGCCGCGUGGGUGAAGAAGGUCUUCGGAUCGUAAAACCCUGUUGUUAGAGAAGAAAGUGCGUGAGAGUAACUGUUCACGUUUCGACGGUAUCUAACCAGAAAGCCACGGCUAACUACGUG
rnacentral:rRNA from 1 species